rnacentral:ncRNA from 1 species
UGUCUCCUCCAACUCUCCUCAGAAAAGAAUUGGAUUUCAAGCCCGCUCACAGAGCGGGCUUUUUUUU